UACGUAGGGUGCGAGCGUUGUCCGGAAUUAUUGGGCGUAAAGAGCUCGUAGGCGGUCUGUCGCGUCGGUCGUGAAAACUUGGGGCUUAACCCUGAGCUUGCGGUCGAUACGGGCAUGACUGGAGUUCGGUAGGGGAGACUGGAAUUCCUGGUGUAGCGGUGGAAUGCGCAGAUAUCAGGAGGAACACCGGUGGCGAAGGCGGGUCUCUGGACAGUUCCUGACGCUGAGGCACGAAGGUCAGGGGAGCAAACGGG
rnacentral:rRNA from 1 species